rnacentral:rRNA from 1 species
CCUACGGGAGGCUGCAGUGGGGAAUAUUGGGCAAUGGGCGCAAGCCUGACCCAGCAAUGCCGCGUGAAGGAAGAAGGCUUUCGGGUUGUAAACUUCUUUGACAGGGGAAGAGCAGAAGACGGUACCCUGAAAACAAGCCACGGCUAACUACGUGCCAGCAGCCGCGGUAAUACGUAGGGGGCAAGCGUUAUCCGGAUUUACUGGGUGUAAAGGGAGCGUAGGCGGUUUAGCAAGUCAGAAGUGAAAGCCCGGGGCUCAACUCCGGGACUGCUUUUGAAACUGUUGAACUAGAUUGCAGGAGAGGUAAGUGGAAUUCCUAGUGUAGCGGUGAAAUGCGUAGAUAUUAGGAGGAACACCAGUGGCGAAGGCGGCUUACUGGACUGUAAAUGACGCUGAGGCUCGAAAGCGUGGGGAGCAAACAGGAUUAGAUACCCGAGUAGUC